rnacentral:lncRNA from 1 species
GGCAGUGAUGAUCCCAAUAGGUAGGGUGAAAAAGAUGGCAAUGCCACAUGCUAGCAAGACACCCCAACAUGGUAACUGGAGUUGGGCUUUGUAAUAUUCACAUACAAAUAUGGUUGCUACAAUGUUUGUCAAGAGAAUGCAAGCGAACCACCAUUCUGGAACUUGCUUGUACUUUCUCAUAAGCCUUGUGUGCACAUCCAUAUGUUUAUUUUGGAAAACGGACUUGCUCUGCUGCCAUAGUUCUCUAAGACCUUGUAAAUGUGAGUUAGAUUAUAUAACAAGGUAGUUGCUCAAGAAAGAUAGCCAAUUAUGUAGGUAUGCAUACACAAACAAUGAAACAUUAUAAAUUACUAAACAAAAGCAAUAACAAAUCACCACUAGAGAUAAUAUUUUCAAAUCAAAAUGAGCAAAAUUUACUAAAAGAAAACAUCACAGAAGCAAUUUUCUUCCAUGAUAUUCUCCACNUUUCUUAAAAUUUUUCAUUCUUUAGCUUUGUAGUAGAAGCAAACCUGACAAAUAAAUAAUCCCAGACUAUAAAAAUUGUAUUGAUUUUGUUAAUAACUAUUUUGGCCCAUCACUGUUUACAAGUCUACCGCAACAAAUGCGUUAUAAGUAUAUCUAAAUAUGUAUAAACAACUUUCAGGGCACAAUAAGUAAAAUGUUACAUAGAGUGAUGGCGUGAUACCUGAUUAGUCGUGGCAGUGAUGAUCCCAAUAGGUAGGGUGAAAAAGAUGGCAAUGCCACAUGCUAGCAAGACACCCCACCAUGGUAACUGGAGUUGGGCUUUGUAAUAUUCACAUACAAAUAUGGUUGCUACAAUGUUUGUCAAGAGAAUGCAAGCGAACCAUCAUUCUGGAACUUGCUUGUACUUUCUCAUAAGCCUUGUGUGCACAUCCAUAUGUUUAUUUUGGAAAACGGACUUGCUCUGCUGCCAUAGUUCUCUAAGACCUUGUAAAUGUGAGUUAGAUUAUAUAACAGGGUAGUUGCUCAAGAAAGAUAGCCAAUUAUGUAGGUAUGCAUACACAAACAAUGAAACAU